rnacentral:rRNA from 1 species
UACGGGGGGUGCAAGCGUUGUUCGGAAUCAUUGGGCGUAAAGAGCGUGUAGGCGGCUGAGCAAGUCAGAUGUGAAAUCCCUGGGCUUAACCCAGGAAGUGCAUUUGAAACUGUUCAGCUUGAGUAAGGAAGAGGGAAGUGGAAUUCCUGGUGUAGAGGUGAAAUUCGUAGAGAUCGGGAGGAACACCAGUGGCGAAGGCGGGUAACUGGACUGCAACUGACGCUGAGGCGCGAAAGUGUGGGGAGCAAACAGGAUUAGAUACCCCGGUAGUCCCU